rnacentral:rRNA from 1 species
UACGUAGGGUGCAAGCGUUAAUCGGAAUUACUGGGCGUAAAGCGUGCGCAGGCGGUGAUGUAAGACAGUUGUGAAAUCCCCGGGCUCAACCUGGGAACUGCAUCUGUGACUGCAUCGCUGGAGUGCGGCAGAGGGGGAUGGAAUUCCGCGUGUAGCAGUGAAAUGCGUAGAUAUGCGGAGGAACACCGAUGGCGAAGGCAAUCCCCUGGGCCUGCACUGACGCUGAGGCGCGAAAGGCUAGGGGAGCAAACAGG